AGCCACUGUGGCAUAGCUCGGUAGCGCGGCUGACUUGUAAUCAGCAGGUCGGGGGUUCAAAUCCCUCCCGAGGCUU
rnacentral:tRNA from 1 species